UUCUAUAUAAUUUCGCACUUGAUAAUUGGUUUUUAAACAAGCACAUCAUAAAGUUCUAAAGAUAAGACACUUGACAUUAUCAAUAUGAGACAAGUGUUUCUAUGCUAACAGAGAGACAACACAAAACAACCAAAUUCCUCAAGAAGCAUCCCUCUUGGGGAAACACAUCACGAGAAGAUCACAAGGAAUAUUGAUACAUUGACUGGAAGAAGACAUGGCCUAAAAACAAAAAUUUACAAAAGAACCAAGAAGCCAAAAUAAUAUUUUCAACAAGCUUUGCAGUCAGUUAGCCAGAAGCAAGGAUGCAACAUUGAAACUACGAGCAAAGAACCUCUAUUAUACUCAAAUUCGAGGAGGCCACCAUUUUAAAGUAAGAUGCUUAGUUAAUCCAACCGAGUCUACUGAUACCAUUGGAAUUCCAGUAACAGUCUGUUGAUCCACAUUUUAGUCUAUCAGUAACAGGAAUGUCUUCUCACUUAUUUUCCGACUUAAGUUGUCCCCCAAGUAAAAUAAGUCCCACCAUUGCAAAAGCAGCUAAAACGGUUGAUGAAUAGGACAUCACAAGCAGAGAUGCUCGCAGAGACUUAGCAAGCAAUAAAGCAUUGUCAUUUGCAUACUGUAAUGAGCUCUCCGGUAUGCUCUGUAUGCCUUGGCCCAAUUCCCAAGAAAGAAAACUAAAGAUGAAUGCAAUGGCAGCUCCAGUGUAGGCCUUUCCAGAGGUCAAUUCAACCUGAAGAUCCCCAAACUUGAACAUCCUGGUUUGCUGCUUAAAUUCUUCAACAUCAACCCCAGAUACUGGACUUGCAGACAACAACUUUCCAGUCUUUAUCAUAACUUUAGCAAUCUUCUGCACUUCACCUUCGCCAUAUUGUCCCAUGGACUGGAACCUUUUUCCAGCUGAUAACAAGCGCCUUCCAAAUGCUGAUUUUUGAGAGCCUGUCAAUGAGCCAACCAAUAAAGGCAGCUUGUCCACUAAAGCUGUGGACGUUGAUGUAUCAGCCAUUUCCCAUGCUCGACUUAUAUUUAACAAUGUCUCUCCAACCUCUUCACCACACUCAACUUUAACUGGCCCAUUUGAAAGAUCAAAUGCUGCAUCAUUCAGAUCUGAGCGAAGAUCACUGGGAAGCUGCGAAAAAAAGUCUGCAGGUAGAACAAAACUCUCAGCGAUUUCCUGUACAAGUGUUUGAGGGUUUGGUUCAAGAGAUUUGGGGGAAUCAGAUUCAGUAACAGCAAACGGUACUGUUGUACGUGUAUGAAAUUUGAGGAAAUUCUUGCGAAAUGAUGGAAGGAUGGAGAUGAUAUGAUGUGGGUGUUUGCCAAAACGAAGAGUAGGAGUAGAAAAGAGACAAUAGAUAGACGAGUGUUGAUGAAGUGAGAUAGAGGAAGCCAUUGAAGCACAAGAGAAGAGAAUUACUAGUAUUAUUUUUUGACAACUGGAGUUGGGCGAGAGCCAUAUUUUUG
rnacentral:misc_RNA from 1 species